rnacentral:rRNA from 1 species
UACGAACUGUGCAACCGUUAUUCGGAAUUACUGGGCGUAAAGGGUGCGUAGGUGGUUUCUUAAGUCAGAGGUGAAAGGCUACGGCUCAACCGUAGUAAGCCUUUGAAACUGAGAAACUUGAGUGCAGGAGAGGAGAGUAGAAUUCCUAGUGUAGCGGUGAAAUGCGUAGAUAUUAGGAGGAAUACCAGUUGCGAAGGCGGCUCUCUGGACUGUAACUGACACUGAGGCACGAAAGCGUGGGGAGCAAACAGG